CGUACGGGAGGCAGCAGGUGGGGAAUAUUGCACAAUGGGCGCAAGCCUGAUGCAGCCAUGCCGCGUGUAUGAAGAAGGCCUUCGGGUUGUAAAGUACUUUCAGCAGUGAGGAAGGUGGGUAUGUUAAUAGCAUACUCAUUUGACGUUAGCUGCAGAAGAAGCACCGGCUAACUCCGUGCCAGCAGCCGCGGUAAUACGGAGGGUGCGAGCGUUAAUCGGAAUUACUGGGCGUAAAGCGCAUGCAGGUGGUUUGUUAAGUCAGAUGUGAAAGCCCGGGGCUCAACCUCGGAAUUGCAUUUGAAACUGGCAAACUAGAGUACUGUAGAGGGGGUAGAAUUUCAGGUGUAGCGGUGAAAUGCGUAGAGAUCUGAAGGAAUACCGGUGGCGAAGGCGGCCCCCUGGACAGAUACUGACACUCAGAUGCGAAAGCGUGGGGAGCAAACAGGAUUAGAUACCCUGGUAG
rnacentral:rRNA from 1 species